rnacentral:rRNA from 1 species
GACGAACGCUGGCGGCGUGCUUAACACAUGCAAGUCGAACGCUGAAGCUUGGUGCUUGCUCUUGUUGCGUUAGUGGCGAACGGGUGAGUAAUACGUGAAUAACCUGCCCUUGACUCUGGGAUAAGCCUGGGAAACUGGGUCUAAUACUGGAUACUACAUGUCACCGCAUGGUUGUGUGUGGAAAGGGUUUUACUGGUUUUGGAUUGGCUCAAGGCCUAUCAGCUUAUUUGUGGGGUAAUGGCUCACCAAGGCGACGACGGGUAGCCGGCCUGAGAGGGUGACCGGGCACAAGGGGACUGAGAGAGGGAGCAGACGGGUACGGGAGGCAGUAGGGGAGAAUAUGACGCAAUGAGGGAAAGCCUGAUGCAGAGACGUCGCGUGAGGGAUGACGGGCUUCGGGGUGUAAACAUAUGUGAGAGCGGAAGAAGAGAAAGUGACGGUACGUGCAGAAGAAGCGACGGCUAACUACGUG